ACACCUGGAACCGUCUAUGAAAGUCAACCCAAGCACCUCUUCCAACACCUGGGGCUACGGGUGACCUUCUAGGCUUUGCUGUUACACCAUUUCAGGAGCCCUCCUUCCCCCUGGGGCUGGCUCUGCUUGGAAGCGGCGGAGGCCUGUGGUGUUGCCAAGUCCGUUGCUGCAGACCUCUUUGUUCCCCAAGAGAAUGCGUAAAGGCUCUUUUUGAUCCCACUGCACAUCGCUGGGCUCUGCUGACCUCCAGACAUGGAGAGCACCACGAGGAGGAAAAGGACUCAGCACGUGACUGGGCUUUGCGGCCAGCUCUGGACCACAAGCUCCUUGCCCAGAUAUCUUGCUGAUAUCCCUCGCCAUAUGGGAUGUGUGUGGUGCUGCUUCCUCCUGGCUGUCACUCGUGGGGUUCUGCCCCGGCUCCGAAGCUCCGUGCGUGGGAACAGCUCCUGGCUGGGGCUCAUCUCUGUCUGCAGGAGCUGCUCGGCCUCUUUCAGCACAUCUCAGUCUGUUUGGAGACAGUUCCCACAAGCAUCUCUUCUCCAGGUGUAGCGGCUUUCUCUCCCCCGUGUUUCAGCCGUGGUAUCACAUUAUUUAUGGUUUCCUGCCUGUUGGCUGGUUUGGAAGUCAGCAAUUCCCCGAGAUGAAGUUGUACGAAGUUGGCUGGUGCUGAAUUUGCAUUUUUUUUUUCCCAGAAGAGAGAGAGAUCGAGGGAAAAAACGUCACCGUGCUGCAUCACCGGGCACUCCAUCCCACGGGUCUGCCCAUCCUCACCCCUCCAACGCCAACGCCCCUCAGGGUCAUAAAUUUGCACGGUGAUGAGACACAACCAGAUGUUCGGCUACGUGAAGCGACUGGCGAAGCAGCCUGCCUGGCGCAGCCCCCGCCGCCGGAGCCAGCCGCCUGCUAAUGAGAAG
rnacentral:lncRNA from 1 species